GAGGGAUUCCUCUUUUGCCCCGCUACGCUUGCUGGGAGUUGUAGUCCUCGUGGGGUAAUCGGAAGAACUGUGGGAGUUCCUCGCAAGGAGCCAAAUCAGCUGGGAGGAAGAAUUGAAUCAGAAAAAUGUGAAGGAUACGUGGAAAUCAUGUAAGAGUGGCUUUGCGAGAUGCUCAAAAAAAAACCGCAAUCAAAGAAGACCAUGCAGGUUCCAUCUUCAUCUGGAUGAGUAAGGUGAGAACAAAGGAUGUGCAAAGCAGACGGAGGCAGUCAUCGUAGUGGGCAGGGAAGAGGAUUUUCCUGGCUGCAUUUUAUAUUAGAUGAGUGAGGCAAGAAGCACGGAGAUUGAAAAGGAGGAGGUUGCAGUAAUCAAGGUGACAGCUCUCCAGCUACUGCCUGUUUCCAGCACUACCUGUCAGCCUUCUUGACUCACCAGCUGGGCUCAGUGUAGAGCCCUGUGGAGCUAGAGACAGAGAGGUGAGUUUCACAGCGGUCUGCAGGAUAGUGGAACAGGCAGUUAUGGGGGAUAUAGGGAGUGAAUGCUCCAUUUGGAAAGAGUGGAGAGGGGAGAAUGGGUCGAGGAGAGAUCUGGGGGAGAUCAAUGCCACCCUAUCCAUAUCCCCCUUUAAUAUUGUCCUUUCUCCUGUAGUACCCUUGGAACAGGGGAAAAUGCUUUCCUUUACCUCUAGCACUUCCAGUUUGAGGAACUGUCUGUGGUUCAUCUUCAUAGGACGUUCCUGUUGGCAAACCCCAGGUGCCUCGAAGUGUUCUGAGAAGUAGAAAUGGUAGCUCUUACCCUUAGAUCGCUGUAGGGCCUAAGCCCUACCUGCCCCCUUAUUGUGUUGGCAGGAGACAGGAAAUGUGUGAGUGCUGGAUGAAAGUAUCGGGGUGGGCAGGAUAACAUCUCAGGAGUGGGGCUAGCAGCCCUGCCGCUCAGACAACUUCCCCUGCUGCCAAAACACCUGUAGUUUGUUCAUGAAAGUGCCCCACAGGGAGGAAAUAUUGACCAUUAACCUUAUGCUGCAUGCAGUCUUAGCUCUGUUUUCUUUCCCCAUGUCAGCAAUCACCAGUGUGCUCGGUGUUUUCAGUUAAGAAGAAAAAGUGGAAGUGCUGGGGUUGCCAGCUAAUGACAGAUGCUGAAUGUUUUGAGCUUUUCCUACAAGCCAGUAAAAAGAAACUUUGUGCACUACUCUGCUACUUUCCUUGAGGCUUUCAGACCAGAUUUUCAAAGAUAAGUGCCUACGUUGCACCUGUAAAACAUGUACACGUGGGGAAAACAGCUAUUGGUGUGUGUCACCGCUACCUAUUUUGUGCCCACAAAUGCCUGUUUGUCCCUGGCUGUGCAUACUGCAUGGAAUAUAUGUAGGUGCCUGUCUCUGAAAAUGUAGCCUUCAGAACAGCUAUAUGUGAGUAUAUUCCUUCUUUACUUCCGCAGCUCACCUGCAGAUUCUUUACUCUCUCACACACAUCCUCGGCUCUGAUAUAUUCUGGUUAUCCAGAGGCUGGAUGCUUGUUGGGCCUGUUGCUGCAAUACAGCACUUGCUGAAAGUUCUUACAUGCAUUGCUGUCUCUCCACAGCAGCUCUUCCUGGUGUUUAGCUAUUCAGUCCACGAAGGAGGUGAAACAAGGAAGAGGCUGCUGCCUGCUUUUUGUAACCUUCAGCCGUCAGACAGGUUUUUCCUGGUUAUCAGUCAACUCUUGGAGUUCUUCUACUCCAGUGACACUGGCCAGAGAUGAAGAACUAGUAGCAACAACAUGUUACAACACAGGGUUGAACCAGAAGCACGUACCAGACUUGAGGCUGGGAUUCUUAGGAUCGGCUGUGGGCAUAAAUGUUCCCAUUCGCUAUUAUGUCUUUAUGUGUUUAGUCUGCAUCACUGAACUUUGUUCCUGACUCCAAACCAGAAAAGUCUUUCCCCUCACUGCUUUCAAGUAUAUCGCAAAACAAACUAUGACCCAGAUUCUCUGCUAUGUCCAGCCACAGCAUGAGGGGAGAGAAGGCUGCAAGGUAGCUUGCUGUGUUUCUGUGAUUCUCAAGCCAGCUCUGCUUUGACUCUUGCACUGCUUAGAGCAAUUGAGGAGUUGCUGUAAAUGCAGCAAUUGGCCACGCCAUGAUGAAACAUUCCACCAGCUGAGGAUACUGGGAAUACAGAGGGCUCCAGCCACACUCCCUCCUUGUCCCCAGCAUGCUGCUUACACCAAAGGCUAAAGGGGGUGGUGUAGCGAUGGGAACCAGCUAUGAUGGUAUACAACCUCACAAUUUGGGAAUCCCCAGCCAGAGAGGUACAGCCAAUUUGCAACCAGAGAAUCUGUCCCUCUCCAAGGUGGAGGCUCUGGGGAAAGAAAUACCUAAAAGAUCUGUUCAGAUUUAGUUUUGAUCUUCCCUCAAUGGGCUUCAGUUAGAUCAUAGUUAAAAUAAAUCUCCAAAAAGGAAAAGAACGGGGAAAAGUGCUGCUGUUUAUGUAACUCUUAAAAAUAAAAUAAAAUAAUGUUUUGCUGAGUUUCUCUUCUAUCCCUGAUAAGUCUCUGUCAGGUCAUCGAAUAUCUCCAAGAAAGCCACGCAGACCCACGUACUCCUUGGGGGAGGAUCUCUCAGUGUAUUGGAUAUCUUUGGAGGGGAAAUGGUGUUUUGAGCAGCUUUCAAUUCCAUGUUCCUCUCACCCCUCUUCUCUUCUGUUUCAAUUGCUUGGAAGUGGUUGGUUUUUUUUUUGGUUUUUUUUUUAAAGCAGCACUUUAAAGGCUGCUGUUGACUUUUAGUGCUUAGAAACGGGCUUUUACAGAAAAGCUCAUGUGGAAAACAAAACAGUUUUCAUGGAUGAAAAUAAAAAUGUAAAGUCAAAUUAAAAUGAGGUGAAAGUGAU